UAUGGUGACAGUCCACUCAUCUAGUUGAAUGUUAGUGUUAAACAUGAAUCACAGUAUGGGUCAGGAUCAAAAUAUGACCCAUGAGCAGACCCUGCUUCAGACCCUCAGCUUAGGUCAUGGUAAGUAUGGUCAAGAAUCAAAAUAUGACCCAUGAGUAGACCCUAAGCUUAAGUCAUGGAUAUUAUGGUCCAAGAUCAAGAUAGGUGCCAUGAACAGACCCUGCUUCAGACCCUGAGCUUAAGUCAUUGUAAGUAUGGGUCAGGAUAAAUAUACGAC
rnacentral:lncRNA from 1 species